UACGUAGGGUGCGAGCGUUAAUCGGAAUUACUGGGCGUAAAGCGUGCGCAGGCGGCUUCGCACGUCAGGCGUGAAAUCCCCGGGCUUAACCUGGGAAUGGCGUCUGAAACUACGGAGCUGGAGUGUGGCAGAGGGAGGUAGAAUUCCACGUGUAGCGGUGAAAUGCGUAGAUAUGUGGAGGAAUACCGAUGGCGAAGGCAGCCUCCUGGGCCAACACUGACGCUCAUGCACGAAAGCGUGGGGAUCAAACAGG
rnacentral:rRNA from 1 species